CGACCGGGUGAGUAACACGUGACUAACCUACCCUCGAGUGGGGAAUAACUCCGGGAAACCGGAGCUAAUACCGCAUAACAUCUUCGGAGCGCAAGCUCUGUUGAUCAAAGGAGCAAUUCGCUUGAGGAGGGAGUCGCGGCUGAUUAGCUAGUUGGCGGGGUAAUGGCCCACCAAGGCUUAGAUCGGUAGCCGGCCUGAGAGGGCGCACGGCCACACUGGAACUGAAACACGGUCCAG
rnacentral:rRNA from 1 species